rnacentral:tRNA from 1 species
GCCUGGGUGGCUCAGUCGGUUAAGCGUCUGACUUCGGCUCAGGUCAUGAUCUCACGGUUUGUGAGUUCGAGCCCCACGUCGGGCU